CAGUUCUAUGCGGCGUCACCAGGAAGGGGAGACAAAAACCUAGUCAUUUCUUGCCAUCUAAUACAUGAAGAUGAGAACAGGGACAAGACUUACAAUGACUCCCUACAGCCUUGCCUUUUAUGUGACACAGCAUGCAAUCCUCAGCCAUCUACUCCUGGCAGAACGCUUCAAUGUUCCAGUUCCCCCUUAUAUCUGUUCUUGGAAACUGUGGCUUAAGGCUCUUUUAGCUGCCUAUGGACUCCUACAGACACCCAACAUCUCUAUGCAAAAACUCCCUGUGAAGAAAGCAAUGUUUCCAACCCUGGAGCUUUCGCGGAAUGGCGAUUUAACACGUUUGGCUCAUAAAAUAUGGAUGUGUAUAUUUUUAAAGAACCAGUUGUGGAGCAGAA